GCAGUGGUAGUUCAUUCAGUGGUAGAAUUUUUGCCUUCCAUGCAGGAGACUCAGGUUCGAUUCCCAGCCAAUGCA
rnacentral:tRNA from 1 species